rnacentral:rRNA from 1 species
GACGAACGCUGGCGGCGUGCCUAAUACAUGCAAGUAGGACGCAGUUGCGAACGGGUGAGUAACGCGUAGGUAACUACCUACUAGAGGGGGAUAACUAAUGGAAACGAUAGCUAAUACCGCACAAUAGCAGAUGGACUUGCGUUGUAUUAGCUAGUAGGUAGGGUAAUGGCCUACCUAGGCAACGAUACAUAGCCGACCUUAGAGGGUGAUCGGCCACACUGGUGCUGAGACACGGCCCAGACUCCUACGGGAUGCAGCAGUAGGGAAUCUUCGGCAAUGGGGGGAACUCGGUCCGAGCAACGCCGCGUGAGUGACGAGGGUUUUCGGAUCGGAAAGCUCUGUUGUUAAGGAAGCGGUACUUAACCAGAAAGGGACGGCUAACUACGUGCCAGCCGCCGCGGUAAUAC